UCCUACGGGAGGCAGCAGUGGGGAAUCUUGCGCAAUGGACGAAAGUCUGACGCAGCCAUGCCGCGUGGGCGAUGAAGGCCGUAAGGUUGUAAAGCCCUUUUGGUGGAGAAGAACAGCCCGCAAGGGUCUGACGGUAUCCGCCGAAUAAGCACAGGCUAACUCCGUGCCAGCAGCCGCGGUAAUACGGGGUGUGCAAGCGUUGCUCGGAAUCACUGGGCGUAAAGCGUGUGUAGGUGGCUCGGUCAGACAGAUGUGAAAUCCUUCGGCUCAACUGGAGACGUGCAUCUGUUACUGCCGAGCUUGAGCGUGGUAGAGGGAGGGGGAAUGUCCGGUGUAGAAGUGAAAUUCGUAGAUAUCGGAUGGAAUACCGGUGGUGAAGACGCCCUCCUGGGCCACUGCUGACACUGAGGCACGAAAGCGUGGGGAGCAAACAGGAUUAGAUACCCUGGUAGUCCACGCCCUAAACGAUGACAACUGGGUGUUGCCGGCUUUAACCCCGGCAGUGCCGCAGCUAACGCGCUAAGUUGUCCGCCUGGGAAGUACGGCCGCAAGGUUAAAACUCAAAGGAAUUGACGGA
rnacentral:rRNA from 1 species